rnacentral:rRNA from 1 species
GACAGAGGUGCCGAGCGUUAGGCGGAAUCACUGGGCUUAAAGCGUGUGUAGGCGGAUCUGUAAGUACCUUGUGAGAUCCCACGGCUCAACCGUGGAACUGCUUGGUAUACUGCGGGUCUUGAGCCACCUAGGGGCAAGUGGAACAAACGGUGGAGCGGUGAAAUGCGUAGAUAUCGUUUGGAACGCCAAUGGUGAAAACAACUUGCUGGGGGUGUGCUGACGCUGAGACACGAAAGCCAGGGGAGCAAACGGG